AGUUCUGGUUGCCCCUGGGGAAGGGACACGACUCCUCGCAGGCCUCGCGGCUUUCGAAGUUGUUGCUGUUGCCCUCGCAGCCACCGUAGACGAAGGACUGGCAGAGGCCCGUCUGGCUGUGCUGUUUCUCCCAAGUGAGCUCGGGCCGGGGCCGGCCCACCACAUCGCAGAGGAAACUCACGGUCUCCCCCACGGUGACGGACUGAUGGACGGGAUGGUUGAGUAGGGCCGGGGCCGCCAUGUCCAGCCCCAGAGUCUCCGGGGAGGCCGUGGACUGGAUAAGGAUGGCCCUUGGAAGAACCCACCUGGCAGCCAGGCAAGAACCAUCUGGAAGUGGCCCUUGCUGACGGCAGCGUCCAGGAGGGAGGAAAGUAUGGAAGCACUGAAGAGCCCAACAGGUGGGAACUCAGUCCACUUUCCUCCCAGGACGCUUGGAGUGUUUGCACAGAUUCGCUCCCACCCAAACGGCCCAGCAGCCUCAUCGUUGUGUGGCCGAGUCCAAACCUGGGAAAGGGCCUGGAAACCAGGUCUAACUAGCUGCGAACACGGCAUCAGGCAGGCAGGCUUCCAAGCCCACCUGGCUAUGGCAUCACUCCUGUGGGUACCCGUUCCCUCACCUGUGAGUGGGCCACUGAACAUCUGGCAGGCUGUUGUGUUAUCCCAACACAUGCUGUGUGCCCAGUGUGGUGCUGGCCCAACGCAGCCCUCCACAAACCCAAAGAGGAAUGCUCCAGGAUGGAUUUGGAUACCACGCCCUCUUCCAGGCCUCAGCUGUAUAGAGGCCGGCACCAAGCCCUGCUUGUCUCUGGGCGGGCAGGGUCUGGGUUCCUUCACGUUCCUGGAGGCACUCCCCAGCCGUCCCCACGUCCUAGCUCCCACACCAUCACAGACCCACUCACAUGGUCCGUCCUAGGCUUCAGGGGUCCCACUCACCUGGUC